GUCGUCGUGAGGCGUGCGUCUGAAGGAAGCGUGGAGCGAAUUCGCGGCCUGACGUACAGGAAUCGGAUAGUAGGCGAUGUCGACGGGACGAGCCGCCAAUGCACGGCGAAGUCCUCUAUCCAUCGGAAAUCGACGUCGUAGAUCCGGCGGGCGUGCGAAGACAGUUGAUGAA
rfam:Blastopirellula marina DSM 3645 scf_1099463000751 genomic scaffold, whole genome shotgun sequence.